UGUAAGCGUAUACCAAAGUUGUUGCAGUUAAAACGCUCGUAGUCGGAAUUUGGCAGUUCCGGAUGUGUGCACGUCGUGUGCGCACUUCGCGGGGAUUGCUUUUGUGGUCUUGCGUAGGAUGAGGCACUUCUAUUAGUGAACGUCCUCACGCAACCACUUUUUACUGUGAGAAAAUCAGAGUGCUCAAAGCAGGCAUUUGCCGUGAAUGUAUUAGCAUGGAAUAAUAGAAUAGGACUUGGUUCUAUUUUGUUGGUUUGUUGGGACUGAGUGAUGAUUAAGAGGGACAGUCGGGGGCAUUUGUAUUUCGGUGCUAGAGGUGAAAUUCUUAGAUUACCGAAAGACAAACUGCUGCGAAAGCGUCUGCCAAGGAUGUUUUCAUUGA
rnacentral:rRNA from 1 species